AAAACUUUGUGGGUAAGAAUGUCAUACCUAGAAGAUGAUUGUGUUGCCUGACAGCCAUGGGGAAGAUGGCAAGUAGAGUCAGCUUUCUUGGGGGUGUGAGUCAGUUUGGGCUGCUGUAACAAAAAUAUCAUAGACUGGGUGGCUUAUAAACAACAGAAAUUUAUUUCUCACAGGCCUGGCGGCUGGAAGUAGCAGAUCAGGGUGCUAGUAUGGUCAUGUUCUGGUGAAGGCCCUUUUCUGUGUUGGUAGCUAAAAAGAGGGCUAAGAGCUCUCAGGACUCUCCUUUUUAUAAGGGCACCCCAGAGAGUGAGGUGCUACACCUUUGUUACCUAAUUAUCUCCCAAAGGCUCCAUUUCCUAAUGCCAUCACAUUGGGGAUUAGGAAGAACCUCAACAUUAAAUUCGAGAGGGCACAGUCAGUCUCUAACAUGGGGAUAGGGCCUGAGUUCAGUUUCUUGCUAUUCAUAUAUUAGAAUAUAUUAGUAGUAAAGGUGUUAGAGUCUAGACUGACAAAAUCAAGACAAAAUAAAGAGCCAUUAAAUCUUUUAAGAUUUAAUCUAUAAUUAAGCUGUAUUCAGAAAUGUGCUGGUUCCCAAAGAUUAAGUUUUCCUAUACUUUUCUAGGUACUAAAAGAAAAUAUAAAGGGAGGAAGGGAGAAAGAGAAAAAGUAAGGGAGGGAGGGACUCUUUGAGAAAAACUAUUGAUUAGUAUUGAGGAGAUCUAUAAAGUCUCUGCAUGGGACUGGUUGUAUUUUCAAAGUUGUCCACAGCAAUUUCUCUUACCCUUCAAGCUCUUCUGCAAAGAGGUGGAGUCUCCCUCCCUUCCCUCUUGAAUGGGGCCUAUCAUGAGAGCCAAACACUAUCUUCUGCUGGAAAAGAGAAAAGGAUAGAAUAUUUCUGUGGUGAGAAAGAAGGUUAUUUGAUACUAAACCCAGACCACACCCACUAGAGCUGGAGUUCAGCUUACAGAAAUGGAUCUAAGAUCAAGUCAAAUCCGUAAAGACACUGGUGAGUCAGCGGGAACCACAGUGAGCUAAAGGUAGCACUGGGUGGGAGGCCAAAGGAGCGGGCUGACCGAGGCUGGAGAUUUGAUGGGAGUGGAGCCUUCAUGAGGAAGGCUGGUAUCCCACAAGGUUGCAUCAUCAGUGGCUUGAGACCUUUGAACCUGAGCUAGGGGUGGGUGUGUGCAGGGGCCUGGAGAGACUGCAGAGAUCUGAGUGAGACCAGCUUUGCGGGGUUACUGGCAGUGCACAUUCUGGCUUUGUGUUCCUGAGAUCUGUUUCUUGCCCUUCCUCUACCCUGUUCUAAAUCAAAGGGGCCUGACCCUUGUAGGUUGCUUUUCUAAGAUCAGAGGAUGAUAGGAAGCACUGGAUGGUGGAGGUAGAGAGGGAGAAACGAGGCCUUCUCCCCUCCUUCCCAGCUGCGUACCUCUCCCACUCCAUUUGUUGCCAGACAGGUCCACUAUGGUUCCAGCCUCCACUCAGUGACGCAGAGACUCCAUUAGGCACCCUGAGCUCCGGGAACUCCGUCCUCCCUUUCCUCUGCCCUGCAGUGGUGUCAGCUUCCUGUCUUUGCAGUCUGGAUUCCUCACCCCGCCCUGGCUGGCCUCUCAGCUCUUCCAUCCCUUGUGUAAUUGAUCCCUGCAUCAAAGUCCUGUUUGGAAUUCUCUGGUGGUUUCUGUUUCCUGGUUAGAUCCCGACUGAUACACUGGCCUCGGUAGCUGGUCAGCUCUGAUUCCUGGAAGAGAGCUGCUGAGAACCGGCCUGGGGAGGCCUUGCUGAAAGAGGUUUGUAGGGAAACAAGCUGACUUCAGGACAGCUCAGUGUGUGGCUUACUUGACCCCAUUCUCUCCAGAACUACAUAAGCUGUUAUCUUAAGGGAGGAACUUUAAUGGAGGAAUUGAUUUGGGAUGGGGUGAAGGAUUCACUAAAACAGAGGCAUCAAUGACACCAGAGAGCAGAGAAAGCUCAUGUCCACUCAGUUUAGAAAUAACCAAGUGUUCUGGUGGGGGCUCAUGCGUCACUGAAUUACUGUGGCAUUCUUGGGCUCCAUAUCAUGUUUGUAUCUUGUGUCUGGUUCAAAUAGAACAGAGAAUAAUGGAGUGAAUGCCUCUAAUUUAAUAUUCUUAUAUUUCCGUCACAUCAAAUUCCCACUAGGACAAAUGUAUACAAAUGAAUCAUUAUGAUUUUUUUCCCUUUUACCCUAGCUGAGCCACUUGGGCUUCUGCUAAGAAAUGAUGAUAAAAGUGAUGAAAACAAAGCAUAACAUUAUAAUGUCAUUUUAAAAAAUAAAAGAUUUCCAGGAGAUCCUUUGUUGUGCAGGAAGAGCACGAGCUGCAUGUUUAAAUGACUUUUUGUUUUCCCUUUUGGAUAAUCACAGAGAGUAAUGUAACCAAAAUAAUCUUGGACUGCUGCUGAGGUCAUCAUUUAGUUCCUGCUGACAUGUUGUGCUGGUCAGAGAGCACAGCAUCUCAAAGGGAGUACAGCCCUGGAGACAUGAGAGAAGGCGUCAUUCAGACUGCUGGUGCUUCCCUCGGAGACAACAGGAGCAUUGGAGCCCUAAGCUGCCAUGUAAGGCAUCUGACUACCUUGAAGCCACUACAUUGGAAAGGUCAAGUGGAGGAGCUCCAGCUGACAGUCUCCAUGGAGCCCAGCUUCGAGCCAUCCCUGCAAGGCAUCUUCGGAGGUCUUGGAACACAUCCCCCAAGGAUAAAGGGGACUACUGUAUUCUCAGCUCAGGUCACAAAGUGGAUGGUUAGGUGCACUGCUCACUGCUCACUGCUCUACCCAUUGAGAAGUUUCCAUUCUCUACUGUCUUUCAAGGCAACCCCCUGAAUAUGGCCGUAAUAUGGACUGCAUUUGU